AGUAACACGUGACUAACCUAACCUGGGAGUUGGGGGAUAACUGAGGGAAACUUAGCUAAUAACGCAUAAUACCUAUGGGUCAAAGGAGCAAUUCGCUUCAGGAGGGGGUCGCGGCCGAUUAGUUAGUUGGCGGGGUAAUGGCCCACCAAGACGAUGAUCGGUAUCCGGCCUGAGAGGGCGCACGGACACACUGGAACUGAAACACGGUCCAGACUCCUACGGGAGGCAGCAGUGGGGAAUUUUGCGCAAUGGGGGAAACCCUGACGCAGCAACGCCGCGUGGAGGAUGAAGUACUUCGGUACGUAAACUCCUUUCGAUCGGGACGAUAAUGACGGUACCGGAAGAAGAAGCCCCGGCUAACUUCGUGCCAGCAGCCGCGGUAAUACGAGGGGGGCAAAGCGUUGUUCGGAAUUAUUGGGCGUAAAGGGUGCGUAGGCGGAUUGGUAAGUCUUUUGUGAAAUCUAUGGGACUCAACUCAUAGACUGGAAGGGAAACUGCCG
rnacentral:rRNA from 1 species